rnacentral:hammerhead_ribozyme from 1 species
GCAUUGCUGAGGAGUCCCAUAAUAGGACGAUACGGCCGUCCAAUGC